UGAGGAAUAUUGGUCAAUGGACGCUAGUCUGAACCAGCCAAGUAGCGUGCAGGAUGACGGCCCUAUGGGUUGUAAACUGCUUUUAUAUGGGGAUAAAGUGGGGAACGUGUUCCCUUUUGCAGGUACCAUAUGAAUAAGGACCGGCUAAUUCCGUGCCAGCAGCCGCGGUAAUACGGAAGGUUCGGGCGUUAUCCGGAUUUAUUGGGUUUAAAGGGAGCGUAGGCCGUUUGGUAAGCGUGUUGUGAAAUGUAGGAGCUCAACUUCUAGAUUGCAGCGCGAACUGUCAGACUUGAGUGCGCACAACGUAGGCGGAAUUCAUGGUGUAGCGGUGAAAUGCUUAGAUAUCAUGAAGAACUCCGAUUGCGAAGGCAGCUUACGGGAGCGCAACUGACGCUGAAGCUCGAAGGUGCGGGUAUCGAACAGG
rnacentral:rRNA from 1 species